UACGGAGGGUGCAAACGUUGCUCGGAAUUAUUGGGCGUAAAGCGUGCGUAGGCGGUCUCGCAAGUCGGGUGUGAAAGCCCUCGGCUCAACCGAGGAAGUGCAUUCGAAACUACGAGACUUGAGUACCGGAGGGGAUGACGGAAUUCCCGGUGUAGAGGUGAAAUUCGUAGAUAUCGGGAGGAACACCAGUGGCGAAGGCGGCUCUCUGGGCAGAUACUGACGCUGAGACGCGAAAGCGUGGGUAGCAAACAGG
rnacentral:rRNA from 1 species